GAAGGAGAAGAAGAAUUAAAUUCUGCAGAGUUUCUCUCUGCCCACAAACUGUGGAAAACUUCUUAUUCACUUUGCAACUGCAAAAUACUGUGAAUACAAUGUUAUGAAUACUCUAUUCACUUCAUUACAAAAAUUAGGGUUACUCCCUCUAUUUAUAGAUUUAUGUUAACUUGUACCUCAAGCCAAAACCCAAAACUAUAAAAGCCCAAAAUAGCUAACACUACUAAAAU
rnacentral:lncRNA from 1 species